UCCGGUUUGUCACCGGCAGUCUCAUUAGAGUGCCCAACUGAAUGUAGCAACUAAUGACAAGGGUUGCGCUCGUUGCGGGACUUAACCCAACAUCUCACGACACGAGCUGACGACAGCCAUGCAGCACCUGUGUUCCCGUUCCCUUUCGGGCACACCCGGCUUUCACCGGGCUCCAGGACAUGUCAAGGGUAGGUAAGGUGGGGAUGACGUUUACGUGCACUU
rnacentral:misc_RNA from 1 species